AUGGAGAGAUCCAUGAGAAUAGUCUUACUUCUCAGGCUCUUCACUAUUGCAACCCUUACAAUCAGUAUGGGUUCUUGCAAUGGAAACCUGGCUGUGCUUUGUAAAGAAAGUGAAAGAGAUGCCCUUUUGAAGUUCAGGCAAGACCUCAAGGACCCUGCAAAUCGGCUUCUAUCGUGGGGCGGUGGAGGAGACUGUUGCAAAUGGACUGGAGUGGUCUGUGAUAACAUAACCGGCCAUAUCCUUGAGCUCCAUCUCAGUAAGCCUGAUUCUGUUUGGGUGGAAGUCAACCCUAUGUUGGGCGGUAAGAUAAAUCCUUCCUUGCUCAUCUUAAAGCAUCUGAGAUACUUAGACCUUAGUAAAAAUGAUUUUCAAGGAAUUCAGAUUCCUGCAUUCUUGGGUUCUCUUAAAAGUUUAAGAUAUCUUAACCUCUCCUACGCUGGGUUCGAGGGAACAAUCCCUCAUCAACUAGGAAAUCUCUCCAGUCUACGCGACCUACGUCUCGAUAAUUAUAAUGGUGUGAAUAUAGUUGAGAGCCUUCACUGGAUAUCUGGUCUUUCUCAGUUGGAAUACCUGGACAUGAGUCGUGUAAAUCUUAGCAAAGCAUCAGAUCAUUGGUUGCAAGUCACAAACAUGCUCCCCUCUUUGGUAGAGUUGCAUUUGUCCCAAUGUGGACUUGUUAAUAUUCCACCUCUACCUAUCACAAAUUUCACUUCACUUGCCAUCCUUGAUCUUUCUCUCAAUUCCUUCAACUCUUUGAUCCCCAGGUGGUUUUUAAGUCUUCGAAAUCUAGCUUCUCUUGAUCUUUUUGGAUGUGGUUUCCAAGGUCCUAUUCCUGGCAGUCCUCACAAUAUCACAUCUCUUAGGGAAAUUGAUUUGUCACAGAAUAGUCUCACACUUCCAAUACCUGAGUGGCUGUUUAACCACAGGGAACUCACUCUUUUGAGACUAGGAUACAAUCAAUUUGGAGGGCCGUUUCCCGGUGGUAUUGUGAAUAUGACUGGUCUUAAAACUCUUCAUCUGGAAUCGAACAAUUUCCAUUCUUCCAUACCUAAAUGGUUGUAUAGCCUUAAAAAUCUUGAAUCCAUACGUCUUUCCUCCAAUAAGUUGGAUGGUGAAAUUCCGAGUGACAUUGGAAACUUGACAUCCAUUGCUGAGCUAAACUUAGAUGAUAAUAUGUUGAAAGGGAAGAUCCCAAACACAUUGGGAUAUCUUCGUGAGUUGAUUUCCCUUGAUCUGUCCUCAAACAACUUUAAUGGAAAUGUAUCAGAAUUCUUUGAGAGUUCACAUCAAAUCGACUAUCUGUCACUGAAACAUAAUAAUUUUUCAGGUCCAAUUCCAGUGUCCAUAGGAAAUCUGUCAUCCAUGAUGAACUUAGACAUUUCUCACAAUCAGUUCAAUGGAACUCUUCCAGAAAGUAUAGGGCAACUCAAAAUGAUAACAGAAUUGGAAAUUUCUUAUAAUUCAUUAGAAGGUGUAGUGUCAGAAGUUCAUUUUGCUCAUCUUGCAAGCUUGGAGUUCUUCAAUGCUAAUGCAAACUCCUUGACUCUGAAAACUCGUCGAGGCUGGUUUCCUCCUUUUAGUCUUCAGAGGUUGGUCCUAGAUUAUUGGCAUAUAGGACCUGAAUUUCCCUUGUGGCUUCAAAGACAGACUAGAUUGCAGUUUUUAAGCCUAUCCAACACAGGAAUUUCAGAUACCAUUCCGACUUGGUUUUGGAACUUUUCUUCCCAAUUAUAUUACAUGAAUCUCUCACAGAAUCAAUUGUAUGGAGAGAUUCAAAAUAUAGAUGCUGCACAAGGGUCAACAGUUGACCUUAGUUUUAACCAGUUCAAUGGUUCAUUACCCCUAGUCUCCUCAGCAAUGGAUUUACUGGAUCUCUCCAAUUCAUCUUUUUCUGGUUCUGUCUUCCAUUUCUUUUGUGAUAAGAUCGAUAUACCAAAGCGAGUUUCAUAUCUGCUUCUUGGAAACAAUCUUCUCAGUGGAAACAUUCCUGAUUGUUGGAAGAACUGGAGAUUUUUGGAAGUGCUGAAUUUAGAGAACAACAAUUUAUCUGGAAACAUUUCGAGCUCCUUGGGUUCCUUGAACCUCCGAUCAUUGCACCUGCGCAAUAAUUCUCUAUCUGGAGAGUUACCUCCAUCUCUGAUGUAUUCCAUGAAUAUGAGGGUUCUUGACCUUGGUGAAAAUAAGUUUGUGGGAAGCUUACCAGCAGCAAUGAUAGAAAAUGGCUAUUCAAGUUUGGUGGUUCUUAACCUUCGUUCGAAUAAGCUACAUGGAGACAUUCCUGAUGAACUCUGUGCUCUCAAUAACCUCCAAAUCUUGGACCUUGCCGAUAACAAUCUCUCAGGUACAAUACCAAGAUGCUUUCAGAAUUUCAGCGCCAUGGUCGUAGUGCCAGUAUCAGAUGGUUCCAUUGAAUGGUUUGAUAUUGUCGAUUAUGGAAGGUACAUUGAUAGCUCAUUCCUAGUGACAAAAGGAAGAGAAGUGGAAUACAGUAAGAUCCUUGGAUGGGUAACAAGCAUGGACCUUUCAGCCAACGCUAUAUCUGGGGAGAUGCCGGAGGAACUGACCAGUCUCAUCAGCUUGCAAAAUUUGAAUAUAUCCGGUAAUCUUCUGACCGGUAGAAUUCCUACAAAGAUCGGUAAUAUGGGACGACUAGAAUCUCUUGAUUUGUCUAAGAACCAUCUUUUUUGGUGUAAUUCCUGCAAGCAUGACAAGGAUGACAUUUCUGAAUCACUUGAAUGUGUCUUACAACAAUCUGACGGGACGGAUUCCAGAAAGCACUCAGCUUCAGAGCCUUGAUCAGUCCGGCUUUGUUGGCAAUGAACUCUGCGGACCUCCUCUCAUCAAGAAUUGCAGUGCAAGCAAGGUGAUACCAUUACCACCAACAGUUGAGCAAGAGAGAGGAUAUGAUUUUCUUGAAGACAAGUGGUUCUAUUUGAGCUUGGGAUUGGGAUUCGCAGUUGGUUUCUGGACUAUACUUGGUUCCUUACUGGUAAACUUGCCAUGGAGCUUUGCCUUUUCACGGUACCUCAAUAGCAUUGUGCUUAAACUUUAUGCUGUAAUUAAUUGUUGAAUAUGUCUAGCUAGAUAGUUGUGUGGAUUUUGUUUCUCCUUGCUAAAAAGAACUUGUCUGUUUCUUUUGAACUUUGUCUGUAAUCAUCUUGCUGUUGUCACAAUAAAAGUUCAUCCUUCU